CACGCCGUAAACGAUGUCUAUUUGGAGGUUGUGCCCUUGAGGCGUGGCUUCCGGAGCUAACGCGUUAAAUAGACCGCCUGGGGAGUACGGCCGCAAGGUUAAAACUCAAAUGAAUUGACGGGGGCCCGCACAAGCGGUGGAGCAUGUGGUUUAAUUCGAUGCAACGCGAAGAACCUUACCUGGUCUUGACAUCCACAGAACUUGGCAGAGAUGCCUUGGUGCCUUCGGGAACUGUGAGACAGGUGC
rnacentral:rRNA from 1 species